rnacentral:rRNA from 1 species
GCCUAACCUAACAUACAAUUAAAACACUAAUUGUUCGCCAAAUAACUACGAGUAAAAACUUAAAAUUUAAAAGACUUGACGGUACUUCACACCACCCUAGAGGAGCCUGUCUAAUAACCGAUACUCCACGAUUAACCCAACCCACUCUAGCCUAACCAGUCUAUGUACCGCCAUCGCCAGCUCACCUUGUAAAAGAAACACAGCGAGCAUAAAAACCACAUCACCGCUAACACGAUAGGUCGAGGUGUAACUAAUGAGUGGGAAUAAGAUGGGCUACAUUUUCUAACAUAGAAAACACGAACCAACUACGAAAAUAGAAACAGAAGGAGGAUUUAGCAGUAUGCUGAGGACAAAACGCUCAACAGAAAUAAACGCAAUGAAGUGCGUACACACCGCCCGUCAUCCCUGCAAUACUACAUCAAUCUUUAUAAACAAAUAAUACCACUAAACAGGGCAAGUCGUAACAUGGUAAGCGUACUGGAAAGUGCGCUUAGAAA